UAAUUCCUACUAUUGAAAACACCACUCCCGUGUUUGUUCCUUCUGAGAUUCAAAGCAUUUCCCAAAUCCUAGCUUAUGUUGAUGAGCAAAGCGGGCAGGAGAAAAUGUUCUGGUGCAAGGCAAAGGUCGUUGACUUGAUUUUAAGCAGUGGGUGGUUCUUCAUAUCAUGCACGACCUGCUUUAAGAAAAUGGAAACAUCAGGUGAUACACUAAGAUGUGCUGGGACAUGCGACACAGAUACGUCUAUUGGUCGGCUACGAUACCGCGUUGAAGUUAUUGUUGAUGAUACGUGCCAAACAACAACUUUUGUUCUUUUUGAUGAACCGGCUAAGAAAUUGUUCAAAACAGCUGCAUCUACCUUGGCUACG